UUCUCUAGUUAGAGGGGUAAUAACCCUGUGUUUCUCUAGUUAGAGGGGGAAUAACCCUGUGUUUCUCUAUUUAAGGGGGAAUAACCCUGUGUUUCUCUAGUUAGAGGGGGAAUAACCCUGUGUUUCUCUAUUUAAGGGGGAAUAACCCUGUGUUUCUCUAUUUAAGGGGGAAUAACCCUGUGUUUCUCUAGUUAGAGGGGGAAUAACCCUGUGUUUCUCUAGUUAGAGGGGGAAUAACCCUGUGUUUCUCUAUUUAAGGGGGAAUAACCCUGUGUUUCUCUAGUUAGAGGGGGAAUAACCCUGUGUUUCUCUAUUUAAGGGGGAAUAACCCUGUGUUUCUCUAGUUAGAGGGGGAAUAACCCUGUGUUUCUCUAUUUAAGGGGGAAUAACCCUGUGUUUCUCUAGUUAGAGGGGGAAUAACCCUGUGUUUCUCUAGUUAGAGGGGGAAUAACCCUGUGUUUCUCUAUUUAAGGGGGAAUAACCCUGUGUUUCUCUAGUUAGAGGGGGAAUAACCCUGUGUUUCUCUAUUUAAGGGGGAAUAACCCUGUGUUUCUCUAUUUAAGGGGGAAUAACCCUGUGUUUCUCUAGUUAGAGGGGGAAUAACCCUGUGUUUCUCUAGUUAGAGGGGGAAUAACCCUGUGUUUCUCUAGUUAAGGGGGAAUAACCCUGUGUUUCUCUAGUUAAGGGGGAAUAACCCUGUGUUUCUCUAGUUAGAGGGGGAAUAACCCUGUGUUUCUCUAGUUAGAGGGGGAAUAACCCUGUGUUUCUCUAGUUAAGGGGGAAUAACCCUGUGUUUCUCUAUUUAAGGGGGAAUAACCCUGUGUUUCUCUAUUUAAGGGGGAAUAACCCUGUGUUUCUCUAGUUAGAGGGGGAAUAACCCUGUGUUUCUCUAGUUAGAGGGGGAAUAACCCUGUGUUUCUCUAGUUAGAGGGGGAAUAACCCUGUGUUUCUCUAGUUAGAGGGGGAAUAACCCUGUGUUUCUCUAGUUAGAGGGGGAAUAACCCUGUGUUUCUCUAGUUAGAGGGGGAAUAACCCUGUGUUUCUCUAUUUAAGGGGGAAUAACCCUGUGUUUCUCUAGUUAGAGGGGGAAUAACCCUGUGUUUCUCUAUUUAAGGGGGAAUAACCCUGUGUUUCUCUAGUUA